GAGACUAUCCUAUGUACAAAACUAAAAGUUAAGAGUUGAAAAGAUCUGACCAAAUGGGUAGCAAUCCAAUAGACAAGAAUGUCAAUAGAAACCCAAAAUUCCCUUGGACUUUUAGAAUCAAGCAACACACAAAUGCACAAUUAUAUUAUAAAAUGGGUAGCAAUCCAAUAGACAAGAAUGUCAAUAGAAACCCAAAAUUCCCUUGGACUUUUAGAAUCAAGCAACACACAAAUGCACAAUUAUAUUAUCUUGAAGAGCAAGGCAU
rnacentral:lncRNA from 1 species